rnacentral:tRNA from 1 species
GGCGCUGUGGCGGAGUGGUCUAACGCGCUAGACUUGAAUCAUCAAUGACAUCUAGUUCCUUCGGGAGCAUCGGUUCGAACCCGAUCGGCGUCG